rfam:Mesorhizobium sp. Root554 contig_1, whole genome shotgun sequence.
GGGCCGGUAGCUCAGCGGUAGAGCACGUGACUUUUAAUCAUGUGGUCGUGGGUUCGAUCCCCACCCGGCUCA